rnacentral:sRNA from 1 species
UCGUGUAUAUGUAGGUUGAAGUGGGCCAC